rnacentral:tRNA from 1 species
GUGGCUGGGGCUCAGUGGCAGAGCGCUUGCCUAGCAUGUGUGAGGCACUAGGUUCAAUCCUUAGCACCACG